GGAUUACCUCUGUGGUGGCUGCAUUCUCAGGCUCCAUGGGUUGGCAAGUCCUAGGCAUUAUGUAAAGGCCGACAGCCAGGUGUGGGCCAGCUCCAACUGGGGCGACUUGUGGAGGGUGGUUCCUGGGACAACGCCCAUGCCGUGAUCAGGAACGGGGUCAGCAGGAGUCAGGUGGGGAAGUGCCAGGUGUCCACUGCCACGACCAACACGUUACUCACACUCACGGCACAAGAAUGGCCUCUGUACCCUGUGUGUAGGCAUAUCCAGGCACAGUCGCUUGUAUGUCUGAGACCUCAAGCUGGAGAGUGCUGAUGGCCAACAUGCUGGUCACCUCUCCACAGUCCUUCCUCCUCCUGGACAACACCCCUGCUCUCUCUGGAUGGUCCUGAGCUAAGCCCGGAAGAACUUUCCAGGCCCAGGUUCCCCAUGCGGGGCUGCCUGAGCACCCCCACCCUAUGGCCAGCCCUGCUGCCCUGGCUUCCACCUCCAGAUCCUUCCUGCCAUGUCCCCCUCCAAUCAGAGCCGACCCACACUGUGUCCCUCCCAGUGGCUCUACUGCCUACUGAACACGUGCACCAUCACCGCCGUGGGGCCCACAGAGUCAAGGCUAUAAAGAGGGACUGAGAACACCGUGACGCCCUGGCCUGCGCACCCUCCUCUGCUCCAUCUGGGUCUGUCCGGAUGGCAGAGGCUCAGAGGGUCUGCCCCUACCAGAUGGUGGAGGCUCAGAAUGUCUGAGCCAGAAAAAGCAUGAAAGAAAACUUAGCCUUCCUCCUCCCAGUUAACAGAACAUCGGGAGGGGUGAGGAGAGAAGGCCCAGGAGGAGGGGCGUCCUUCCCAGGCAGCUGUCACAGGCCCCUAGCUGAGCUCUCAUGGCAGACACAGCCCAGGACACUCAGACCCAGAGUGACUACGAGCCCCGGCAAGACGUGGAGGAGCAGAGUUACAACCCGUCAAGAGCCUGAUUUCAGGUUGAAACCAGGCUUCACCAUGCAGCAGCUGUGUGGCCUCAGGGAAGUUACUGAACCCCUCUGAGCCUCCCAUGGAAAAUAAGGAUGAUGGUUCCCCUCACAGGGUUGUCGGGAGGAUUCAGUGUCCUCCUUCAGGUCUUGACUCGGAUGUUGCCUCUGAGUGAGGGCGUCUUUGGCCACCCCAUUUAAAGUGCCAACCCUGACACUUCCUCCCUCCUUUCCCCUCUGUCCUCUUCCUGGCUCUUAUCACCAUCAGACAAACCAAGUUUUCACUUCUUGAUCAUUGUCCAGCCCCUGCUGUGAAAUGUGAAGUCCUAAGACACAGGCUUUUUUUGUUUGUUACGUUCAUUGCUUUAGAAGGAAUUAAGGACAAGCUACCCCAAAUGACGUCACUUUGGUAUAUGGAUUAUUUUGAGCUGCAGGCACUGGAGAAACAGCAGGUGCAGGCAGGGCCUUCGGACCUCCCCUUUUCUAACCAAGAACAGGCCAUGACAUUUCCCACGAGAUACACACUCCCUUUGUACCAGGAAGAGAACAUCCUUAUCACCAAACACUGGGAGUGGAUGCCGAGGUGCAUCUGCACAAACACACUUAAUAAAAUAACCCUUUGCUUCCACCAGUUUUACUCGUUUCUCCCCCACGAAUCUUCCAGUUCCUCCCCCACGAUUUACUGCCCCCAGUCCAAACCUUUUUGUCUCAUCAUUUCUUCACA
rnacentral:lncRNA from 1 species